GUCAGUAACGCUCUAUUGUACCUCUCCUUCAAAUAGUUUCCUCAUUUCUAAUUGUAUUUUUCUGACAGAUCCUACCUUCUCUCACUGUGCUUUGGCCAGCCGCAAGAUGCUACUCACAUUACAGUGUCUACCACCUUUGUUUUUAGAUGAUGAAGACAAAUGCAAUGUUUGUUUUAAUCAACAGACUCUCUUCAUUAGAUUUGAC